UCCCGUGUGGCUCAGUUGGUAGAGCGUGGUGUUUGCAACGCCAGGGGUUGUGGGGUUCGAUUCCCACGGGGGGAC
rnacentral:tRNA from 1 species